UGAACAUUAAACAAACAUGUUCAUGAACACGUUCGUGAACACAUAAAUGAACACGUUCGCGAAUAAUAAAUAAACGAACAUAAACACCUUCAAAAAUAAAUAAACGAAAAUGAACACUAUAUGGAAAAUUUAAAAGAACACAAAC